rnacentral:rRNA from 1 species
UACGGAGGGUGCGAGCGUUGUCCGGAAUCACUGGGCGUAAAGGGCGCGUAGGUGGCACGGGUAGUCGUCGGUGAAAGCUCAGGGCUCAACCCUGAGUCGGCCGGUGAUACUCCCGAGCUCGAGUGUGGUAGAGGCCAAUGGAAUUCCGGGUGUAGCGGUGGAAUGCGUAGAGAUCCGGAAGAACACCGGCGGCGAAGGCGGUUGGCUGGGCCACAACUGACACUGAUGCGCGACAGCGUGGGGAGCAAACAGG